AUGCCCUCCAAAACAGGGAUUACAGAGACGAUAACAGACCACAUCUUUACACACGAAUCAACAAUACAACUUAAAUAUAUUCAGCAAGAAACCACACCAAAAAAUAAGACGACUGAUAACCAACAUGAUAAGAAUCGGCUAUAUAAGACACACAAAAGGUGGCGAAACAACCAUGGAGAAAUCGAUCGAGCAACCCUUGACGCGGUGGACAUGAGCGACAAGAACAAACACAUCGAUGAGAUAGCCCACGUCAAAGAGAAGAAGUCCAAGAAUGGUUGCAACCGAACGGUGAGAAGAAGUUGGCAAUACCUGCAAACUAGCAGGGAAAGAAAAUGGAUAGUUAGCGUGCAAAAGAGAUCAGAGAAAGAAGAAAGGGCAUACAAACCCUAG
rnacentral:rRNA from 1 species